rnacentral:snRNA from 1 species
GCUAGUGAGUGAAAUUUGGCUGUGGCAUCUGUCACCCCAUCAUGUUUCAGGCUGAUUCGGCUGAUGUGUCUACACAGUGUCUCCUUUCAUCCUCAGUACUCCAGGUGCCUCUGUUCUAAAGCAGCAUACUCAGUUGAUAAGGAUAAGUGCUUCUCAUAGAGGAGGAUGGUCCUAGGUAAAGGAAGUAUGAGUAACUGAACUAUGCUGUUGGAUCCCCUAAACAAUUCCAUGUUCCCACUUCCAUGUCCCACUCAUUUUUUCAAUCACCCUAAUUUCUGAAUUUGACUCUUCAUCUACAUGUAAAAACUGUGGCCCAUU